CUGUUGAUUUUGUCCACACCAUAAAAUAAGGGGGGAAAAAAGGCUAACAAUUAGAUGUAGUGUUUUAAUGUUUGAGUAUAUAAGACUUGCUUUUUGUUUGUUUUUGUUUUUGAGUCAAGGUUUCUCUGUACAGCCCUGGCUGUCUUGGAACUCAUUAUGUAGACCAGACUGGCCUCAAACGGAGAGAUCUGCCUGCCUCUGCCUCAGCCUCAGAAUGCUGGGAUUAAAGGCAUUCCCUGCCACACAAUAUUUUUAACAUUAGGUAGUAUGUCUCUGUUAGGGUCUUAAAAUAGCUUUUAUAGCUGAAUGUGGUAACUGAUGACUGUACUCCCAGCUCUUAUGAGUCUGAGACAGGAGGCUUGCUGUAAGUUUGAGGUCAGCCUGUGGGUGCAUUCCUGAGCAGUCUGAGCUGUAGAGUAGGCCAGGGCUUCGUCCACUGACUUCAUUACCUUUGGCUGGAUGGCCAGCAGGGAUGCUAGAGGUUGUGGGAAAAUUUUUUUUGAGGAAACUGUACUUUUCUCCAUAAUGGCUAUUGUGUUGGUUAUUUCUACAUCAACUUGACAUUUGCUAGAGCCCUUUGGGAAGAUGGUAUGUGUAAGACUUUACUCAGUGACCCAUAAUCUGCUGUGAUCUAUUGUUCUCAGUUUGUUUCUCUAUGUAUAACAGUUAUUCAUUGUUUGCAUUGAUCUUAGUUUUG
rnacentral:lncRNA from 1 species